GUUAUGAAUGGUUAAGGUAAGGGUUAAGGUUAGGGAUAGGGUUAUGAAUGGUUAAGGUAAGGGUUAAGGUUAGGGAUAGGGUUAUGAAUGGUUAAGGUAAGGGUUAAGGUUAGGGAUAGGGUUAUGAAUGGUUAAGGUAAGGGUUAAGGUUUGAGAUAGGGUUAUGAAUGGUUAAGGUAAGGGUUAAGGUGUAAGAUAGGGUUAUGAAUGGUUAAGGUAAGGGUUAAGGUUUGAGAUAGGGUUAUGAAUGGUUAAGGUAAGGGUUAAGGUUUGAGAUAGGGUUAUGAAUGGUUAAGGUUAGGGAUAGGGUUAUUAAUGGUUAAGGUAAGGGUUAAGGUUUGAGAUAGGGUUAUUAAUGGUUAAGGUAAGGGUUAAGGUUUGAGAUAGGGUUAUGAAUGGUUAAGGUAAGGGUUAAGGUUUGAGAUAGGGAUUGAACAUGCAACACUUGAAGCUGGGGCUCACUGACACUGGGUUGUCCUACAUGUCUGACACACACAAUACUCACAUCACUCAUCAUGUCACUAAAUACAUCACAAAUCACAUCACUAAUCACUCAUCACGAAUCACAUCACUAAUCAC